UGAGAAGUCUUUGAUUUACUGUAAGAUCUUGAAGAAGCAUAGACACUUUUCUAUCGAUUUUGAAAUGAAUCGACUGAGUGCAGCGAUUCUUCCAUUAAGUUACUAUAUCUUUUUCUUGAAACUGAAAUACUUCAUGUCAAGAAUGACCUUUAUUUUUUUUGGAUUAGCUUCAAUUUUUCAUUAUGACAUGAAAAAUUUAAGAAAUUUUCUGGC
rnacentral:lncRNA from 1 species